UCAGGCCUAACACAUGCAAGUCGAGCGGCAGCGGGAAAGUAGCUUGCUACUUUUGCCGGCGAGCGGCGGACGGGUGAGUAAUGCCUGGGAAAUUGCCCAGUCGAGGGGGAUAACAGUUGGAAACGACUGCUAAUACCGCAUACGCCCUACGGGGGAAAGCAGGGGACCUUCGGGCCUUGCGCGAUUGGAUAUGCCCAGGUGGGAUUAGCUAGUUGGUGAGGUAAUGGCUCACCAAGGCGACGAUCCCUAGCUGGUCUGAGAGGAUGAUCAGCCACACUGGAACUGAGACACGGUCCAGACUCCUACGGGAGGCAGCAGUGGGGAAUAUUGCACAAUGGGGGAAACCCUGAUGCAGCCAAGGCGCGUGUGUGAAGAAGGCCUUCGGGUUGAAAGCACAUGAGCGAGGAGGAAAGGUCAGUAGCUAAUAUCUG
rnacentral:rRNA from 1 species